GCUACAUGAAGCUCUGCACCGCCAGAGACUUUGCCAUGGAGUUUGCCAAACACCUCACACAUUAUGAGGCGGCUGACGUUGUCUGUGUGGCCAUUGAGGCACUGAGAGACUCCAGCAUCUUCGACAAGGAGGCGGCAAGAAACAUGCUGGAUCUGUUCAUGACAUACCCCGGCUUCUGGCUGGUGGAUGUGCCAAAGAUCAUGAGCUGCAUCCGGGAAAACCUGGAACGUAUCAACAUGGAGUCAGCCCGGCAAAGCAUGGAGUCACUGCUUCUUGCGCUGACUCACCUGGACCCCAGCAAAGUGUUCCUGAGCCUGUUGAAGUUCUCGGCAACCAGAGACAGGUACUGGCCCCAAAAGCCAUGCGGGUUUGUUCCCUGUGG
rnacentral:lncRNA from 1 species